AAAGAUCGCAGCCUUCGGCAGCUCCUACAGGGAUCUUGUUCCAAUGCAGGAGCUGCCGAAGGCUGCGAUCUUU
rnacentral:antisense_RNA from 1 species